CAGUCGCCACGGUAAUACGUAGGGUGCAAGCGUUAAUCGGAAUUACUGGGCGUAAAGCGUGCGCAGGCGGUUAUAUAAGACAGAUGUGAAAUCCCCGGGCUCAACCUGGGAACUGCAUUUGUGACUGUAUAGCUAGAGUACGGCAGAGGGGGAUGGAAUUCCGCGUGUAGCAGUGAAAUGCGUAGAUAUGCGGAGGAACACCGAUGGCGAAGGCAAUCCCCUGGGCCUGUACUGACGCUGAGGCACGAAAGCGUGGGGAGCAAACAGGAUUAGAUACCCCCGUAGUCCCUGUCUCUUAUAC
rnacentral:rRNA from 1 species